rnacentral:lncRNA from 1 species
UAUACCACUACACUGCGACUGUGACUUCGGGGUGUUACUGUUAUGUUAUUAUUGUAACUGUCUCUGCGUUGUGUUCAUGUUAGACCAUGAAUCGAAAGGAUUCUCGAAUUGUGAACUUCCUCGAAAGCCCUAUUGUUUACACCAUUGUUAUUGUGACUAGUUUUCAACCUCCUUUGCAUGGCUGAAACCCCAUUGAGGAGGAAGGAGUUCAAUGGUAUGCUAGUAGCAGGAAAGACCUGGACAGUUUACUGGAAAACAACAACACACAAGCCAUUGUGGAACGGUGGGAAAGGUCUGUGAGAAUUAAAAAGAGCCAAACAGGCAGAAGAAAAACGAUUGAGUGAAAUUGGUAAAGAAAUUAAGAAGGUGGAAGAAAUGAAAUCGAUGUGAAUGUGUCAAAAGAACGACCUAGACAAUAUGGAUGAAGGCAUGGCCUUGGCUUGACGAGAUAUGGGAGCAGUAACAAAAGACCUGCUGAACAUUCAGAAGUCUAUAACUAGUUUAGAAGCAAAUAUUGGAAAAGUAAGAAGACAAUAUGAAUGAAGGCAUGGCCUUGGCUCGACAAGAUAUGGGAGCAGUAACAAAAGACCUGCUGAACAUUCAGAAGUCUAUAACUAGUUUAGAAGCGAAUAUUGAAAAAAAAGAAGUGAAAGGCACAGCAUUUUAAAUAAAUCAAAGAAGGAAGAUAUCGUUAUUCCGAUGUCGCUUGGUAACAUGGAAGACAUUGGGCAAGAUAGUAAUAUGCUACCGGAAGUAUGAAUAGCGAGUCUGUCACAACCAGUGGUAGCGAUUCAGUUAGCAUUCCUCAAAACUCUCAAGAGAUAUAUGAGAGAAGAAAGAAUUGUUGUCGACUAUUCUAAUCUACCUGACAAGUAUAAAAAUCUUCUUGUAUCGGAUGAAAUACGCCGUGAAGGUGAUCUCCUAGAACGUCGCGUGAACGAGUUGAGCCAUACAGUUCAGCAUAAUAAAGCCCCUAAUAUGCGGGCUGUGGAAAAAAUUUGACUUGGCAGGAGAAAAGCUACAAUGGACCAACACAGAGUUUGAAAAGGUUCGCGCCAAAACCAAGAAAGCUCAACAGGCAUUUGAAAGAGUAAAACAAGAGCGUUUUGAUCUCUUUAUGUCUUGUUUUGAACACGUUUUGAAUAAAAUCGAUGGCAUUUAUGAUUCGUUGGCGAGGAACAAUUCUGCUCAAGCCGUUUACCCCAGCCGUCAGAGCGCCCCUAUCAGCCUGACGGUGCAAUAGAAUUUUCGCCUACUAAUAGAAUUUUCGCCGGAUCUAUGCAGACGCACCUACCCCCUAUCACAUCACAUCACAUCACUGCCUAAUUCCAGAAUUCUUCCAAGAUAGCUCUGUGACUUAGCCGAAGGCCAACGCUUGCAACGCGAGCCCUAGUUAAAGGGCUCGAAACCGAGGUUGCCAACAAUACCUACGAAAACUAAGAUAUUGCUAAAAGCUGCUCUGCUAAAAGAACUUGAAAACGAAUUAAUUACAACAUUUUUCUAUUUUACUCUUGUUGAACUUAAAAAAUUAUUAUAUAAAAAACAGUAUUAAUGUCUAAUAAAGUAAACAAACGUCUCAAUUUUCCUGACGUUAUCAACGUUGCCAACGUAUGGUAACAUUUAUAAAGUGUUUGUUCUUAUCCAAAUUCUAUGGCUUGUUGGUAUGGAAUGGAAUGUUGGCUGUUCAGAGCUGUUAAAGAAAAUUUAUUGAAAUAAGCAAAAGGGAAGAUUGGGAUGGGGACUGACGUAGUGACAUACAUGAGUAGUGACCUGAGUACACGCUCUUACUUCAUUGACUGCGAAGUAGGCCACAAGCGGCUCGCAUUAAGUUGACCCGAGUGAACGGUAUGUCAAAGCAAAAACAAAACAAUCUUGAGAUACGAAGAACACUUGAGAUAGAAAAUCCUACAUUUCACUUCAAUUCGUUAUGAAGUAAGAACUCUUGUUACACGGUUGUUCAGUGAAUACAGUGAUUUGGUCAUGCCCGUACUGCGCCUCCCUGGUAGCUGAUUUCCAUCUGGAUCAUCAUCAGAUUGGGAUUAACAUCGCUAACAAAUCAAUUUAUAGAAAAACACUCGAAGUUAGAAGGAUUCGAACCUACCAA